rfam:Amborella trichopoda AMTR_V1.0_contig_15076, whole genome shotgun sequence.
UAUCUUUUUUAAAGAAAUGAAUCUUGAGAUACGGCCCAAACUCCGGUAUUUGGAAUGGGCGAAAGCUUGACGAAGCAAUACCUCCUGGAAGUAGAAGGCGCAUGGGCCAUGGACAUCUUUUCUUCAGAGAAGAAGCGAUGAAAGUAUCCUAGGAAUAGGCAUCGACUUUGUGUCAUCAGCUACAUCAAGUUGAGGAUGCAAGCAUUAUCCGACAUGAUUGGGCAUAAAGGGGUUUCUAGGUGGCUUUUCAAUUCCACUGUCAAAUCCUAGGGCUCAACCCUAGGCAGGUGGUGAAAACUACCAAGCAGGAGUGCGGUAGGGGAAUAAGGAAUUUCUGGUGGAGUGAUGAAGUGCAUAGAGAUCAGAAGAUCUUUUUUUCUAUAGAGAAACAUAUCGGUCAAUUAUGAUUCUUUCUUUCUCUAUCAAU